UUAAGUAAGGAAUUAUUUCUGAAGAGAUAAUUGAGGAGCAGAUUUUUGCAGAGAAGCAAGAUACCGAUGGAGAGAGUAGAAAUGAAUUUGUAGGCCACUGGGCGUGUGUGUGUGUGUGUGUGUGGGGGUGGCAUGAGGAAAGAUACGGAGAUGAAAAUGAGCAUAUCACUUAUAUGAGAUAGCAGGCAGCUAUUGCUGGGGAGAGCAGAGAGGCUGUGGUGAGAGGUAAUGAGAAAUGAAGGUGGGAUGGGAUCCUGGGGGUGUAAUAUUAGUGGAAAGGGCUGAAGGCCAGGGAGGGCUUGGGGUGUGCAUAAUAAGUGACACUGGAGCACCACAGACUGCUGAGCAGGCAAAGGACCUGAAGAAAAUGAAGUUAGAGGAAAAUCAUUAGAGCAUCUGUGAGUAGGUGGGAUCUGAUGAAAAGAGACUGGAGGCAGAGAAACUGGCUCAGAAGCCAUCACUGCAACUCGGAUGUGGGCUGAUGAGGACCCUGGGCUGGCUGCCUAUGCGAGUGGAGAGGAAAUGGUAGAUUAAAACGGCAUGAUUUCAGUGUUUGUGGGAGGUUGUGUGAAGAAGAGUGAAGAGAGCAAUAAAAAAUAACUCAAAACUUGAAAACUACAAGGGAAUUUGGGGGUUAUGGCGAUACAGUAUUUUGAGAGGAGGGUAGCCUGGGGGCAAUGGGAGAAGAGAAGGGGAAUGUUUUAAUAGGGUAAAUAAGACCAAUGCAUAGCUGAAUAAAACUUACAUUUGGAUUACAAUAGUGAAAAACCAGGACUGGACAACACAUUACUAUUUCAAAGAAGGAAAAAUAAUAGGAAGAAAGACUAUGUGGAACACUCUCCAGAAAUUGUAAUCUGGGGCAGUCCCAGGCUGUAUAAUGUUUCCGUUCCAUUUUGCCUAUAGAUGUAAAACAAUGUGCACAGGAGAGAUCAUGAGUUGGCUUUGAGUUCCCUGGCUCCCUGUUUCUCUCUGUCUUCCCUCUGUAGGGUUCACCUCGAGCCUCGGUGUGUCAGGCCUGGGAACAAGAGGAGCAAGUUUGCCACGAGACUUUGGUACUUCGUGAGACACCUCAGAGGUUCUAACAGCCUCUCUGCAGCUGGCGAGUACAAGAUGAAGCAAGGUGUUUCUGAGAGCUGGAAUUGGUCCAGGAGUUGUCUUGGAUGCCACUGGAUCACAAGGUGCCAUGGCCCAGGGUCUCUAAUGAUUGACAGUUUUUGGUGAAGAAGAAUGGGAUCCCAAGCUGACUGCUAAUGGACCAUGGGACAAGCAGAUGCACAGGCCAGCUGCCUGCAUCUGCAGAAGCUGGUGAAGCUUGAGAAUUCCAACCAGAGUCAGCUUUCCCAGAUCUCUGCAGUGCCUGGUUGAGAAAGAAAGGCAAAAUUCAUGUUGUCGCUUCUUUUCCAAAUCCAGGCUCUUGUG
rnacentral:lncRNA from 12 species